CGUAAGUGGAGUCCGGAAACCACAAAAAAACGGGGCAAAAUCCUGAAAUGCCUUAUGAGUAGGGACAAUU
rfam:Flavobacterium beibuense F44-8 contig6, whole genome shotgun sequence.